CUUCUGUUAGUGGUGGAACAUGUUUGAUGAAAUAGUAUGGAUCGAAGACUUCCCAGUCUUCUUCAUAGGUGGCUUCUGCAUGAGCUGAUGAGUAGCCACUGUCUGGAGAUACUGGUGCUGUAAGUGGUGGCAGGUCACGAUCAUUUGUUUCUUCUACUUCUUCUAAACCAUUGUUGACAGUAGAUCUGACCUGCACUGCUUGGCUAGUGUAAGCUGCUCCAUUGGUUGAUGUUGCAGUACUCGUAGUAAUCUCAUCUACCUGCUCCAUAUCAAGCUGUUUGACUAUUUCUUCAGCCUCAACAGCUUGUCCUGGAGAAUCUGAUCCUGAUGUUCCAUUUUUAUUUGCUGGUGAAAAAAAAUUGAAGACGGGAGAAAAUAUGGUUCCCAGUAAGGUAGUUCGCGGGGGACUGCCUGUGGCAGGAUUAUCUUCCAAUUUCCCAUUUUGCUUUACGUGUUGGUUUGUCAUUUCAUAACUUCCAGCUUCUCCAUUCACUUGACCUUUCCGUCUUACUCGAGAGAUCUGUUUAUUAGGCUUUUCUCCUGUUUGAGGUGUGGAUGUGAUCAAGUUGUUAUCUAUAUCCCGUUCAAUUCUACUUCUUUUUGCAGGAUUUUCUCUUUCUUCCUUGGGUGUGCUGCCUUUAAUAAACUUUUUGAUUGAAGACAGUAGGCCCGUCUCAUUUUUCUGCGGCUUUCCCCCGCCGACAGGUAGGCUCUCCUCCACCUCCGAGUGUUUCCUCUUUGCCCUCUGAGCACGCUGCGCGUGAAUGGGAUUUGAUUGCUGAGAAGCCUUCCGCGUUCUCAGCCUCAUUUUCAUGUGUACCACAUGUAAAGCUGCGGCGCGGGGUGCCGGGCGGGCGGGCCCCGGUGGCCGAGUCCCCGGCGGGCGGACGGUGCGGGCCGGGCCGGGCCGGGCCGUGCGGGCGGCGCUGUGUUUACACCGCCGCCGGGGCUCGGCGCUCCGCGGCCGCUCAGCAGCCAGUCGCCAUUUCCCGCCUACCGACCUGCUACACCGCACGGAGGGACCCGGAUGGGGAGAGGGGCCGCCGCGCAGGCGCAGCCCGGCCGGGGGAGGGGGGCCCGGGCACGGCGGCGGCGGGGCAGGCCGGGAAGGAGGGAGCGGGGCCUCGCGCGGGGAGCGGCGCCCCGAGGCGGCGGGGCUGAGGGAACGGGCCGGGCCGGGCCGGGCCGCCACCUCCCGCUCCUCCUUCUCCUCCUCUUACCCGGGCCGGGAGCGGCAGGCAGCGCCUCGGGGCUGAGGGGGCCUCGCGAGGAGGAGGAGGAGGAGGGGAAGGAGGAGGAUGCGGCGGCGACCGCCUCUCGGGCCGAGUGCCGCCCCGCCGCGCCCUGAGGUGAGGUGAGGCGGGAAGGGGCGAGCGGUGCGCUGAGGUGAGGUGGGGGUUGGCGGGAGGUGAGCGGCUGAGGGGGCGGGGAGGGCGCGAGCCGGGCGGCGCGGAGCCGCGUCCCGCCGGGCGGGGGGAGGGGGAAUCUGUGAGGGAAGGGGCGGAGGGGCGGGGCGGUCUGUGAGGUUCUGCCAGGGGGGGCACCGCCGCCCCCCGCUCCGUUCUCCGGCCGCUCCCGGGCGGCGGGCUCGGGCCCCCAGACCCCCCGCCCGUGAGCCCCGCGGGAGGCGGGCGGCUGGGGCGGACGGGGCUCCGCCGUGGCCGGCACGGAGCGCGUCCCGCCGCGCCGGGGGCGGAGGAGCGCGAUGGCGGGAGCGGCGUUUCCCUGCGCUCCCCGGGGAGGAAGCGGCCGGCGGCCACACGGCGCUGCCCGGGACGCGGCCCGGCCCUGCGAGGCGCUCCGCGGGGAGCCCGACCCGGCCCCGCCGCCCUCCCGGCGUCCUGCGGGCAGCCCCGCCGCGGGUCUGGCCGUGCUCGGGGCCGGCUGACCGCUCGCUCUGCCCUCUCGCCCGGCUCCUGGAGCGUUACCGUCCUUUCGAACCGUAGCGCGGCGCUGGCGCUGUGGUUUGAGCCGCUGCUUCGGGACACCUUCGGAGUCUGGUGCGAAGCUCUUCGUUUGUUUAACUCUUGGCAGCCUCUCGUGUGAGAUGUUGAGGAUGCAGCAUCCUGACCGUCCCAGCCAGGACAGCAGGGGGGUGCUGGGGUUGCACGGGGGACUUACAGCCUGCCGAGCUGCCGGCCUCGCUUUUCCUUCUGUCUGUGAGUGCUUUCGUCCACCGCGCUUCAUGAACACAAAUCCUGGGUUCUCAGAUCCGUGCUGUACGACAUUAGGAGCUUCUCAAAGCGUCACUUGGGUACAUGUUCUCUAACGUACCCAUAGGCACAGACCCGCUCCGGGUGCUCUUUCUCUCUCUCUGGUACCCAUUGACACCCCUCACAGGUUUCAAACCCGGAGUGUGUCACAGAAGUCCCGGUUCCCUUGUCCCUCAUCUACUGGUUUGUCAAACAGAAUCACAUCGGCUGCUGCGGAGCCAAGAAUUGCUUUAUAGUUUUAUCACAGAACUUUUGCUCUCUUAGCAGAAGACAUUGUAGAACUGAUUUUACCUUCGUUUCUCAAGGAAGCAGGGAGUAAAGCGGCAGUGGAAGCACUGUAUUCGUUACUCAGAACAGGCCUUAUUCCUGUAGAGCAUUGCAGCACUCCUAAACACACACAUGAGUAAGCGUAGUACUUCAUACAAUCAGCUGUGGGAAAGGUUAGCUUGGGCCUGUUAGGACUUAAUUAAGGCUGUUUGUCAGUCCAUUAAGAGGAGCUAGUAUGGCAAGAUAACUGCGAUGUCUCGCAGUACAAGCCCAGAAGGGCGUUCAGUGGUGCUUAUAAAGGGGGAGUUUUGGAAAACAGUAGGUGGCUUUUCCAAGCUAUGUAAUUAUAAUGAAAGUAACUGCCAGGGGAAACCAUUCAGCAGGAUUCAGAGCAUGCAGAUAUUUAUAUGAACACAAAAACCUUCUACUGCAUUCGCAACGAAAGCCAAAAAAACAUUCUGAAGAUGCUGAAGCACAUGGCUUGGGAUUCAAAGGAGUCUGUAGGGAAUAAGGACUGUGCUUUUCUGUAUCCGCAGUGGUCUUGUGCCUGGUUCAGAGCAGGGGCAGAGGGUGCUGUUGGACCAGAAGGGUUGUGAGCUUUGUCACUCGUCGGGUGAGAAUAUAAAGUCAGAGUGCUCACUGACACUGCUGCGAAGGCAGAAGUUCAAAGGUCCCCCUGCUGUGAGUUGCUCCCCUCCUUAUAAAGCACAGUGUGGGGAGAGCCACGGAGAGUGUGCCACGGAGGAGCGCUAAGGAACACUGGGUGUGCACACAUGGGGCAUGAGAAGCUUGGAACGCACACGUGCUUCAGAAGAGGCUCUGUAUUGGCAACGGCAGGUUGUUCCCUUGACAGUCGAUUGCAGGGACUGCCAGACUGAGAUAUUCUAGGUGUGUGUUUUCUUCACAGGGAGGCUGGAGGACAAAAGCCCGUCGUUGCCAGCAGUGUUGCGCGCUGCUGAAACGUUACACUCUAUUAAUGCUCAUUUGAACGGCCGUUCUUCGUGACUUCCUUCCAACUCCUUUUUUGUUGUUCUCAACUCUUGCGGGCCUGCUGGCGGUGUGUUUACUGAGGACUCACUGAGAAGGACUUGUUCAGAGUCACUUCCUUGUUUGUCAUAGAGAUUCCGCGUGCGUGAGCCCACCUCUUGGUGAGCCGGUCCUACACCUGCCGUUAGGCGGCGUGUUCUGGUACAGGGCUGCCUUCCAUGGCUGUGAGCAGUAGUUGUUUAAACAAAGCAAUUCUUGUUUGGGUUAAAAUAUUUUAGAAUAAUCUAUUUCUAGUGUUUGUUAUUUCUCUUGCUUAUCUGGAGGGAAUACACUUUGUUCAGUAGGUGAACAACCACGGACUUGACUUACUUGAGAAGCAGCUCACAGGCUGUGCUUGCUCUGCGUGCCUAGACGUCUGUCAUCCAAUCUGUCUGUCCAGGAGCAACUACAGACUUACUGUUCUGACUGCUUGCACUUAGCGAGGGAGCCAGAAUUCAUAUGGUGCUGUGUGCCUCUUCAGACACAAAGGCAAGCGUGAAUUUAAACCAACUGAAGUGUGUGUUUGAUUUAGCACAAAACAUCUCUGAGGAGCCUGCAGCCACGGAACAGUCUGCCAGGGAUGAAAAUACACAUCCUUCAGCAGUCGGUCCAGUUGUAGGGGGUUAAGGUGGUUGUAGGUAGGACACUGGCAAGCCUGUCGUUGCUCUGUGCAAAGAGUUUGAUUUAGAUGGAGGGACUGGGAGUGUUCUCGUUUCUGUACUGGCGUGAAGUUCUUGCACACGUAUCGUAACCCUGUUUCUGUGUGUCUGAAAAUCCCAGUGUAACCCAGUAAAUAGGUAUGUACGUCCCCACUUCUUUCAACCAGGGCUGUAUUAGAGAAGCACGGUGUCCUUGGUGCUGGAGUCAGCCAGAAGCUUCUAGCUGCUGCAGAACACUGUGCUGUUUCUGCACGGUGAUACAGGCUAUUGGAAGCACUCAGUCUUACUUUUUCUACUUGGGAAGGAGUGAAGUUGAGGGUGGCGGUGAGUUCUCCACAUACCACAAGUACACACACACGUAUUUGUUCAGGCAAAUCCGCCAGAGUCUGAAGUGAGCAGUAAGUGGCUGUGUGUGCAGAGGAGCUGAGGGGGUGCCAGCUUUCUGUAGCUGCACCAGAAAGUGACAGAUAAAGAGCUGGCUCCUCUUCCUGUUUCCGUACUGGCUCAGCCUCAGGCAGCUCGUACAGCAGAGUGCACGUGAGGGGUUUACUUUAGCCUUUUACAGCAGAGCUUUCAGGAUUUGAUUGCUUGUGCAGAGGGUCUGUUGCAGAUAUAAUUAAACUGAAGCAGAAGUGCAUGACAACCUGUAUGCAGCCUAGCCAACCCUGUGUGUUUUCCAGGCAAAUCACGCUGUGAAUCACUGAAAACAUGUAAUCUUCUAUUGCAAACUGCUUGCUUACAAGAGUUCUUUUGUUCUGUAGGCUUUGUACUUUUCACUGUUAAUGAUUUUGUCUGUAUGAAAAUGUAAACUUGUGAUGUUUAAUAAAAUAUGUAAGUCAUUAGUUAUUUAGUGUCCAUUUUCAUCUUGUCACUUCAGUCUGGAGAUAAGCAGAAUGCUCACUGCAACUCUGACAGUUCUGAAUAACGUGGCUCUGCUUUGUCAGGUGGAACCCAUCACUUUGGGUUUCCUACUUUUAAAGGAAGUCGGGUUCAACAGUGAGUCUUUGCUUUUGUGAGAUCCAUGGAGCUUGGAGAAAGCUUUGGGGAAAGCUGCCUACUGAAAACCCAUACAUAUCAUUGGGUAGUUGGAACUAACUAGAAUGAAUUCAGUAUUUGGCUACUCACUGUAGGUGCUUGGAUUUCUCAUUAUUGUUGAAAUCAUCCAGAGAAAGGUCUCUGGCUGGCUGUUAAUUGUUUUCCUUUGGUCAGUUACUGGAGUACCUGGAAUUCAUGUCAUUGCAGUGGGGAGGUUUUACCCGCUCUGCAGGACAGACACCACUCAUUUCAUGCUUAAUAGAUCUGAAAGCUGAAUUAUAUAAUCUUAAGAGGAAAACUUGGUCUCUUCUCCAACCCUUUUUUGGGGCAGGGCAGGAGAGGAGGAAAGGAAAGCAGCCGUGGCAGAGAACACGAGCCGGGUCAUGGUGGCUGCUGUGUUCCCUCGUUUCAACAGGCUGAAUUUCUACCAGCUUCAAAUGCCAUGGAUGUCUCUGAGGUGUAAGAGCACCCAGAUUUUAAACUGAAGCACAGGUAUUUUUUUCUCUGAUUUUUAACAGAAUUGAUUUGAGCUGUCUGUAAUGGAGUAACAGUUGCCCAAGCUCUGAAAGUUCCUAUCCCAUUUGUAUGCUAAUGUCUCUUCAAGUCAGAUUUCUGUUCAGGCCUGGGCAUAAAACAAAGUACUGCAGUCACUCACUGAGCAAAAAUGACUUAGGAAUAUGUAUUUUCUCAGUUUAACCCUGAGCAAAAUAUUUUUGGCAUCGGCACAUUCAUUUACGUGGACUUGUGAGUGCUUUUAAAGUACAGCCUUUUAUAAUUGGGCUCCUGCAGGUUUGGUUAUUUAUGCAAAGCAGAGAGGCGCUUUGUUCUUUCAUAGCUUUGCAAUGGCAAUCUUUAGGAAAUGGGACAAUUGCAGGGAUUUUCUUGCUCCGUGGUAUGAUCUCAGCUCUGCGUGUUCUCCAAACUUCCUCACAUGGCUGUUACGUUAGUUUCUAUCUGUACUGUGCUUUGAAGCCAUGAUGUGUUGUUACUCUUAAGUAGACUGGUAGAGAAUUCUGUAUUUCAAUAUGGAUGUGGAUAGCUCACAAGCAUUCUGUUGUCGUUACCCCCUUACUCCAUUGGAUGCCACGAGCUGGGCUUUGCAUCUCGUCCCUGAAGAAGGACAGCAUCCCAGUGCCCGCCCUGGCCCGCUGCUGGUGUACUGAGUGCCGUGGUUCAGCUCUCCAGCUCCUACAGUUCUACUGCCAUUUGGAGGCUGGGACAACAGAAGUACUGCAGGCGUUUCUGAACACCAGCUCACCCCUACAGCUUCUUGGUUGACGGCAGAACUCCUUCAGGCAGUGUGGAAGUGCAGGCUUUUCUUACUCCUGGCAGCCGUUGUGGCUGUUGCUGCCUUGGCCUUCUGAAACAGAGAGAGGAAAGCAGAAAAGGGCUGAAUUGUGCAGGGAGCUUCCAGAUCUCAAAUCAGCAGCAAACCCAUUCUUCAAUGAACAAACGUCCCUUGGUUUGGUGUGUGUUUGCAGGGCUGUGGUAGGUAUAGCUGUUACUCUUUAUGAACCUAAGUAAGUGGAGGGAAAGGAAGAAACUAAGCAAAACUCAGUGUACAAAACUAGAACAAGUGAACUAGUUUUUGCUUUCUAGUAAAGUUUCCUAGUUUUUGCUUUCUAGUAGUUUCAAAUACAGUCCUCUUCCCACCAGCACGGCCGGGAGUUCAGCAUUGAUGGCACAGUGCUCAUCUUCACCAUGCUUCCUUACAUCUUAACAGUGACAGUGCUGAGCACUUAGCACUGCAAAGUGGCAAGGUGAAGUGAAGCAUUUGGAAGUAUGUAUGAAAGAGGGAUGGGAGUUUCUGAGAAGAUAGGACGAGGUUUGUUGGUCCCGUUUGCUGCUUUUCAGGAGAUGACUCCUCCAGUGCACUGCCAUGUGAAUGAAAAGCUGCUCGUACACAAGCCUUAAAGCAAGAACUUGAGGAGCUGCACGCUGCCUUAGCUGUCUAGAAACACUGCUCAAACAACACGAUCUGGGCUGGGCCAUCAUUUAAAGGUGCUUUGAUUUUUCUUGUAAAGCAGUUCCACCAAAUGCACAAGAUGUUAUUUUGAAGUUCAGCUGAUGGUUUGAGAGAAGCAGAUAUUUGAGCAGCGCUCUGAAAUAUGUCAACAUUUUGUGUGCUGCUGUUCCCAUGGAAACAGGUAUCAGCUCAGAAAAAUGGCCUCGGGAUUUCAGAAUUAGAUGUAGAAAAUAAAAUCCAGAUAGGUUAGUCAUGCAUAUUGCUACUCAUAAGCUGAUACUGGUGGUGCUAAGCAAUACGCCAUGAACACAUCAGGUGUGGACACACACACUGGCAGGUCAGUGGUUUAUAUUUUUGCUAAGUGAGCCUUUGACUGAAGGAACUUUAUUAGAAAAACACGUAUGUAUGGCAAACAAGUAUACAGAUUGUAAGGUAAAUAGGUAUACAGGUAUAGGACCAGAGAGAUUAUUGUGUUACAAAGGAGUAAUGAAAUAAAGAGCUUACCCAUGUCCUGGGCUCACAGAAGGGCUCCAAGAAGAGUGAUCUCCAGAUAGAGAUCCUUCCUGCUUGGGAGUCAGCCCUUAAAUGGGGUCUCUGUGGGGUGCAGCCAGGAUCCACCCCUUCCGGUCACUCAGGUGAAGUUACGUUCACCUGUGCCCCUGCAGCUGACUCAGUGCCCACCUCAGGUGAUCAAUCAGAGGUUCAGGCCGUGAUUAUACAGUUCCCAUACAAUGCAUUAAUUGCAUUUUUUUUCUAGCCUGUUCUCUUCCACAUACCUGAAAGCAGUCACAUUUUCAUCACUUCUUUAGGCCUCUUCCCUGAAAAAAGGUGGAAGAGGUAUUGGAUGAGAACUACAGAUUUAAGCUAGUUGGCAGACUUUUUUUUUAACAUAAAAUGGCUGAGGAAACACAAACCUGAUCAUAUGGAAUCUUUAGCAGCAUGUAGAAAUGAAGCAGGUGCCAUUCCUUUGAGCUGUUUGCCUCUGGGGAUGUGUGCUUUAGGAAGGGCCGUUGCAGGCGGGGCAGUUAUCCCAGCUGAGCACUGAGCACGGGAUGAGUGCAGGACUCACUGCCAGCAGGGCAGUGUGCAGUGAGCACACCUUUAUGGGGCUGAGGGCAGAGCACCCUGGGAAUUCUUGGAAAAUGAAGUCUCCUCUAAUUGGAGGCUUGCAUCUUCAGCUUAAUGAUUCAGACAUGUCUAUCUAUUUUCUAGCUCAAGCCAUGCUUAGAUGUCUGUCUUUGAUAUGAAUUGGAUGCCCCACAUCCUCUAGAGCAGCGGCUCCCAGCUGGUGUUGGGCAUUGUGUUAAAGGAAAGGCACAGAGCAGGAGUCCCACAGGCCUCAAGGAUGGAAGCGCAGUGCAGAAGCAACGCGCAGGCAGCUGGCCAGAGCAGCUUUUGUUCAACACAACAGCAGAGGCCCUACAGUGAGGGAUUCAAGGAGGAUCUUACAGUAGUUUGCUUUAAAGUGUGAAACACCGAAGUAAAAAUGGUUCAGUUUUGCAGCACUUCAAGUUCUUCAGUUGAGAUCUCAUCUACGUUUCCCAUUUAAUUCAGCCUUAAAGAACACCGUCACCGAAGCGUGGCUUGCUGUAAUCAACGAGGUCAUUCUGUAGGUCUCUUUCUUCAUCAUUUUGCUUCAUCUUUUGCAAGCCGACAGCUCUGCCUUUUUGAAGCUUUAGAUGGUCUGCUUCAAUUUUGUUUUCAUUCUGACUGUCCAUAUUUUCACCAAAAUUUAAGUGUUGAAGAGAAUUUGGAGGUAUCUCUUUUGCAAUAUCAGCAUUUCCAUCAUUGUCACCAUGCAAACCUGGCGCCAGAUUUGGAGCGUGGGGCUGUUCAGUUGGGAGGUUUACAUCAGCCUGAUGAUGGUUGUCGCUUCUGGGAGCUGAAAUAAGUGGCUUCUUUAUAGCAGUGGGAGUGUCUUCAGCUUUAGCAGGGUCAUUGUCUUCUAUUUCAGGCAUGCCUGCAUCUCCUCCUGGUUUGACUUUCUCUUUGCCAUUUACAACACGAUCUGAAGGUAGCUCAUUAUUUUCUGCAUUUUUAACUUCCAUCUCUGGAACAGUCUUAGAUAUUGGCUGGUUAUCACCAUUGGGAUUUACUUCAGCAUCUUUACUGGACUGAAUCCUCUGCGUUGCCUUUUGUUCCCGAACAAUCUGGUCCAUUAAUUUCUUUAUGUUUUCUUCAUGCUGUAUUCUCAUUUCCUUGAUCUGCUGCCCACACUGCAGACUGUCGUACUCCAGCCUCCUCGUAAGGUAGGUGUUGUUCUUCUUGUACUCAUGAAGCUGAUCUUCCUGGCGGAUGAAUUCCUGACGUAAUUCUGCCAGUUGUUCCUUCAAACGAUGUAUGUCUGCCAUCUGGUACGAUAUGUUGUUCUGCAGCUUCACCCGGCUGUCCUCGCAGCGCUUCACCUGCCCGUCCCUGGCCUGCAGCUGGCUGCUCAGCUGGCUGUAAUCCGCCUCCUUCUGCUCCAGCUGCUUGCGGUGCGAAUCCACCCGGCCCAGCAGGUCGGAGUUGCGCUUCUCCAGCCGCCCUCGGGCCACCUCGGUGCGCUUGGCCUGGCUCUGCAGCUCGGCCAGCUCCUCCCGCAGCACGGCCUGGCGCGACGCCGCGUUCCAGCAGUUGAAGGCGAGGACGGCGAUCACGAGCAGCAGGGCGGCCAGCAGGAAGGAGGGCAGGCGGCCGCCCCUCCGGUUGGCCCCGAAGCCCACCAUGGGGGAGGCCGCCGGGCGGGGGCCGCGCCCGCUCUCCGCCUCCGCCCGCGCCUGAGAGGGGCCGCACAGAACGGGGCCGCGGGACCGGCGGAGGAUCGGCUGCGGGCGGCGGACGCGCACAGGCCGCAGAGCCGCGCUGGCGGCGCGCCGCCCUCCUCCCGGCCGGCCGCGGCCCCGCC
rnacentral:lncRNA from 1 species